rnacentral:rRNA from 1 species
UGGGGAAUAUUGCGCAAUGGGCGAAAGCCUGACGCAGCAACGCCGCGUGAGUGAUGAAGGCCUUCGGGUUGUAAAGCACUUUCGGUAGGGAAGAUUAUGACGGUACCUACAGAAGAAGCACCGGCUAACUCCGUGCCAGCAGCCGCGGUAAUACGGAGGGUGCAAGCGUUAAUCGGAAUUACUGGGCGUAAAGCGUGCGCAGGCGGCGACAUAAGACAGAUGUGAAAUCCCCGGGCUCAACCUGGGAACUGCGUUUGUGACUGUGUUGCUAGAGUGUAGCAGAGGGGGGUGGAAUUCCACGUGUAGCAGUGAAAUGCGUAGAGAUGUGGAGGAACACCGAUGGCGAAGGCAGCCCCCUGGGUUAACACUGACGCUCAUGCACGAAAGCGUGGGGAGCAAACAGGAUUAGAUACCCACGUAGUCCCUGAGCGGGCUGGCAAGGCGCAU